rnacentral:rRNA from 1 species
AUGAACGCUGGCGGCGUGCCUAAUACAUGCAAGUCGAGCGAACGGACGAGAAGCUUGCUUUUCUGAUGUUAGCGGCGGACGGGUGAGUAACACGUGGAUAACCUACCUAUAAGACUGGGAUAACUUCGGGAAACCGGAGCUAAUACCGGAUAAUAUUUUGAACCGCAUGGUUCAAAAGUGAAAGACGGCCUUGCUGUCACUUAUAGAUGGAUCCGCGCUGCAUUAGCUAGUUGGUAAGGUAACGGCUUACCAAGGCAACGAUGCAUAGCCGACCUGAGAGGGUGAUCGGCCACACGGGAACUGAGACACGGUCCAGACUCCUACGGGAGGCAGCAGUAGGGAAUCUUCCGCAAUGGGCGAAAGCCUGACGGAGCAACGCCGCGUGAGUGAUGAAGGUCUUCGGAUCGUAAAACUCUGUUAUUAGGGAAGAACAUAUGUGUAAGUAACUGUGCACAUCUUGACGGUACCUAAUCAGAAAGCCACGGCUAACUACGUG